rnacentral:lncRNA from 1 species
UGUGCAGGGUAACUAUUUAAAAUCUAAUAUUAUAGCGCUAGUUAUAAGGUAAAAUGAAAGUUUUUUCCCUAAAAUGAGAUGUUAGUUUUAACGUCAGGGGGGUCUAAGCCCUGGUAACUACGAACACACGACACAUCUAUACAGCUCCACGACAUGUAAUUUGGUCAAAUCGCGGGUCAUCUGUGAUCGUCGUACGAGCAUCGUGGCGCUGUCGUAUGUCGUGGGACGAAAAUUGGACAUGCACCUUUUUGCUCUAUGAUUUUUUUGUCGUAUCACUGUCUUGUGGCUGUCGUGAGAGUGUCCUACCACAGUCGUGAGGCUGUUGUGCGAUAAACACAUUGUCGUAUAACAUAAACCAUUUAAAUAAGACAAUAGUCGCAGGACUGUGUACGACAAUCUCACGACUAUCGCAAGACGCUCGUGAUACAGUUGCACGAUUGUCUCACGAAUACCAAAUUUCGUACGAUGCUCGCACAGCAUUGAUUGUCUGUCGUACGACAUCGGUACGUUCGUCGUGCAGCAUAUUUACGUUUUAUUUAGAAGAAUACAAUUCGGCGGGGAUGAAUGUUUGAAAAACAUACCGUUUAAAGAGGAUGGCUUUCUCACAAGAACGAUUUUGUUUGGCCCUGUUGAAUAGGCGCCUUGCCGGACUCAAACAAGAGCAAAAUAAAGUCCUGUUAGCGUUGAUUUGAGCCCGUGAACAGUAUAGGAACGCCCGACGUUGGUGGGGUACUUUUAGGAAUUUGGGAUCUCAAUGCUCUUCAACUUCGUAUUUUAUUUUUUUUUUAACUUUUUUGGAUUCGAGCGUCACUAAUGAGUCUUUUGUAGAUGAAACGCGCGUCUGGCGUAUAUAUAAAAUUUUGUCGUGGUAUCUAUGAUGAGUUUAUUUAAGCCAUUGAUCGAACGGCGCCUGAUGUUUUGGCAGUAAAGUACACUGAUGAAAGAGUUGGAACGGGAAUCUGCCGUUGAUUUCGUUGGAUUCAUGCGGAUGGAGCUUUGCAUAUUUCAAGAGCUUUUGCUGAGAGUCGCCACUCGUAUCACAGUUGCACAACAGUGGUACGACAAUGGCACGACCGUAAUACGACAGUCACACGCGCAUCCCAAUACAUGAAAACCUGAAAAAAAAUAGCCACAAACAACUCACGAUUGUCGUACGAUUGUCGCACGACCGACUUGCGACAAGCACACGACAGUAC